rnacentral:lncRNA from 1 species
UAUGGUCAAUAUUAGAUUCUAACUGGACGCCGCAAUGCAAAGUUGUGAUCAAAGCCUGCAUCAUCAAUUUAAUCAAUGUUAUUUGGUAUAGAAGGAAUACUAUCAGAUUUCAGGAUAAAGUGGUAAAUUGGAGAUCUGCGAUCAACAUGAUCAUAUCUCAAGUCUCACUAUCAGGGAAUCUUGCCUCAAAGACUGCUGCUGCUAAUAUUUUCGAAUUUACUAUCAUGAAAGCUUGUAAAGUGAACAUAAAACCUCCAAAGGUUGUUAUAGUCAAAGAAGUCAUUUGGGCUCC